GAUGAACGCUAGCGGCAGGCCUAAUACAUGCAAGUCAAGGGGCCCUUUCGGGGGCACCGGCGGACGGGUGCGCAACGCGUACACAACGUGCCUUUGACCGGGGGACAGCGGCGGGAAACUGCCGGUAAUACCCCAUGGAGCCGCAGGGGGGCAUUUUUCUGCGGCCAAAGUUGCGGCGGUCAGAGAUCGGUGUGCGUCCGAUUAGCUUGUUGGCGGGGUAACGGCCCACCAAGGCGACGAUCGGUAGGGGGUGNGAGAGCACGGCCCCCACAU
rnacentral:rRNA from 1 species